UACGGGGGGAGCAAGCGUUGUUCGGAUUUACUGGGCGUAAAGGGCGCGUAGGCGGCCACUGCAAGUCAGUUGUGAAAUCUCUGGGCUUAACCCGGAAAGGUCAACUGAUACUGCAGGGCUAGAGUGCAGAAGGGGCAACUGGAAUUCUCGGUGUAGCGGUGAAAUGCGUAGAUAUCGAGAGGAACACCUGCGGCGAAGGCGGGUUGCUGGGCUGACACUGACGCUGAGGCGCGAAAGCCAGGGGAGCGAACGGG
rnacentral:rRNA from 1 species